UCAGAUUGAACGCUGGCGGCAGGCCUAACACAUGCAAGUCGAGCGGUAGAGAGAAGCUUGCUUCUCUUGAGAGCGGCGGACGGGUGAGUAAUGCCUAGGAAUCUGCCUGGUAGUGGGGGAUAACGUUCGGAAACGAACGCUAAUACCGCAUACGUCCUACGGGAGAAAGCAGGGGACCUUCGGGCCUUGCGCUAUCAGAUGAGCCUAGGUCGGAUUAGCUAGUUGGUGAGGUAAUGGCUCACCAAGGCGACGAUCCGUAACUGGUCUGAGAGGAUGAUCAGUCACACUGGAACUGAGACACGGUCCAGACUCCUACGGGAGGCAGCAGUGGGGAAUAUUGGACAAUGGGCGAAAGCCUGAUCCAGCCAUGCCGCGUGUGUGAAGAAGGUCUUCGGAUUGUAAAGCACUUUAAGUUGGGAGGAAGGGCAGUUACCUAAUACGUGAUUGUUUUGACGUUACCGACAGAAUAAGCACCGGCUAACUCUGUGCCAGCAGCCGCGGUAAUACAGAGGGUGCAAGCGUUAAUCGGAAUUACUGGGCGUAAAGCGCGCGUAGGUGGUUUGUUAAGUUGGAUGUGAAAUCCCCGGGCUCAACCUGGGAACUGCAUUCAAAACUGACUGACUAGAGUAUGGUAGAGGGUGGUGGAAUUUCCUGUGUAGCGGUGAAAUGCGUAGAUAUAGGAAGGAACACCAGUGGCGAAGGCGACCACCUGGACUAAUACUGAC
rnacentral:rRNA from 1 species